rnacentral:tRNA from 1 species
CGCGGUGGAGCGGCUGGCCCGUACCUCGCCCGCGCUGCUGCUGCGGGCCGGGGUCGACCAGCAGUGCGGGCAGCUCGUCCGGCUCGCGCCGUCGCUG